UUAUGUAAAUUCUGAAACAUGAUUUAUGAUGUCAUUAGUCAAGUGACAUAUAAUUCAGAACAUCCAAGGUGGGUUAAAAUCAAGGGCAAUUGGACUUAUUGAAGAUACUUGGAGACGUUUUUCUUCUCAGCCAAGAGGCUUCUUCAGUUCUGACAGACUGGCAGGGAGUCUCAGCUAUAUAACCUCUUUGGGGGGUCGUUAUCAAGGUGAUGGAUACUGGCACUCUUUGCUGUUGUAACAGCAGUCGUCAUGGUUGUUGAAGUCACCUGAGGCCAAGUCUGAACAACCGUGGUUGGGAUUGUCUCAUGAGGCCAAAUGACCCACAGGAAGUUUGCUUUACAGCAGGAAGCAGGAAACAUUCAUCCAGUGAGAAAACAGCAAAAACCUUUGGAGUCAAGCACAAGAAAAGGGUGAUGAAAAGGAAAACAAAACUUUAAAUGAGGACAGCACCUCCCCGGUGGCAAAAGGCUCUUUUUGUUUAUAGAGACAGCCAACGAUAAACAGGAAAUGUGGGAGACAGACAGGCAUACUGCAAAGGGUCGCAGGCUGGACUCAAACAAGGACCGCUUUAUUAAGGACUCAUACGCGCUACCAAAAUGUAAUGCAGUUAACUGCUGAACUAACACAGACAUUGAAUAACUACCAAACUGCUGUUGGUAUAAAACCUGAUACUAACAAGAAGCCUGUUCCGGUGUUGUUUCCGAUGCCUUUUCUUGACGCGGGUGCUUCUGAUCACAUAAGAGGACUUACACAGAGCUGAACCCAUCCCAUUAACUUGGUGAACACUUCACCAAGCACAGCCUGACAGUGACAGCUGUGGAGAAUAAAAUCAAAAGAGCACAAUCAUCUCCCUCGGUCUCUUUCGUACCUGUCCAGAACCCAUCAAUUCAAAGAUUGUCCCUUGAAAUCAAAUAUGACUGAGGCGGGACACUGUGUCCAAAGGGCUGGAGAGGUUUGACCCCUGGGGUGGGUUGAUGCCUAUUAUACCAUUGCCCCAAGGCAUUGAGCACCCCCUUCUACCACACACACACACACACAUACCCAGAGGAUCAGGUGACCCUCCAACCUUUGAAACUGUGUAUGUGAUCAAACCUUCCGCCUCUGCUAAGGACACAUUGAGUGAAACACAGGCCUGUGUCUGUUUACAGGGAUUUUUUCUCUCCUGUCAUUUUGCAGUUACAGAUACUUAAUGAUGGGAUGGAUACAGUAAAUACUCUACGUUUGGUGGUAUUCUACUUUAACCAGUAUUAAGCAAAUUAAUUAUACAUAUAACCUAUUUUUAAUUUUUUAUUACUUCAAUAAUUUAACUACAUUAUCCUAGUCAUUUUGUUUUUUAGGUAUACGGCAUUGAAUCAGAACACUUCAUGUAUAACGAAAUGUAAUUCCUCCAUAAUUACCUGACCUGAUCUAAACUUAAUUAGGUCCACUUGUAGCAUGAAAACUAAUACCUUAGAUGGCUCCCAAAUAUUUGGCAGAUGUGUCCAAUCUAUAUCAACAUAAUUCCCAACAGCUGCACUCAAAUGUAGUUUAAAUUAUAAUAUGUUCUUAAAAAGUUGAUGCACUGUAGUUGAUGUAUGGGUAAUCGUUGACUGUGGUACCUUGUAUGGAAUUUAUAGGCUCCCAGUGGUCAUAAAUGUAAAUGUAUGUAUGUUUUUCUACAUUAUAAAUAACAUUCAAACAGGUGCUACCACUCACUGAAUAUUGAUUAAACGCAUGAUAUGUUCCCUAUCCAGUUGGUGACCUUCAUGGACGAUUUAACCUGAAGAGUAAACGCAGACCUUUGUGCACCACGCUUAACUGCACUUUUGUGUCCUUGGAUUCUGAGACCCCAGGCUCUGAGGUUGCAGCGAGCAUGUGAUUUUCAGUUUAAACAUCCUUAAUCCACACUCAGGUUGGUGGGUCAGUCAGCCACAUGAGACGGUUAAGGGGAAAAAAAGCAUUACUAAGCUUUUGCUGUCAUUUUCAAUUAACCUGUCUGGUGUCUGUUUAAGUCCAGCGGUGCUGCUGCAGAAUGUCCACAGAACUGGAACAAGAUGAAUAAAAACACCUCACAGUAUGGCAGCAGUGUGAGCAGUGUUGAAUUAGCAAAAUCUAUCUGCUGCCCUCCUGUGGAGCCAUGGUGACACUGUUUAUGUUAUGGUACAUUCAAAAAACAUAAUCUGUGUAGCUGUCAGGGUUAUAGAUCGAUUGAGCUUAAUUGAGAUAGUUAAUUAAUGAAUCCAUCAGCCUUUUAUUUUUGCAUUACUGACCCAACAUUUUAAUACAUCAGUGAUAUAUUUUUGUAUUGUGGAUUGAGCCUUUUUAAAUGUUUACAUGCUAGUGGUGA